AGAAGGUUGAAUACGUAUUCUUGGUUGGUACAGCAGGCGGUGUACCUCACUAACACAGAUUACAACAAGCACGUUCGAUUAGGUGAUGUAGUUGUUGCGAGUCCACCAGAAGGACAGAGGUUUAUAUAUAUGUACUGUGAUGGGGCUAAGGUCCUCGAAAAUGGAGCCUACGAGUUUGAAACAAAAUCCUGGGGUCCAUCCAGAUUCUGAGCCUUCAGAAUAUUGCUGAAAAAUUAAAGGACCAAGGUGAGGAGAAAGAAGGCCCAACUCCUUGGCUUCAGUACAUGACAGAAGGCAGCGCAAAGUUAGCAGAGCAGGAAAUGGACUUCUCUCGUCCAAACGAGGACACCGACAAGCUGUACAUGAGUAUAGAGGGUCAGACGUUAUUGAAGUAUCC